GUAAAAGUCGAGGCAAAGCGCUUUUCCUCCUGUGAAGAGCUAAAUAUCUUCCUGACUGAGAAAUACUCAUCCUGACCUACAGGGCUGCUCACAGACCUCUGGAGAAGGGAACCUGCUCCUUUGCCAGGACUCAGCUGGUGCCACACUUGAACAGACUCUUUCAGGCAAGUAUUUCAGGCUUCGGUAUCAUGCCAGCUGACUUCAGCUAGAGGAAGUGGCUGAAAGCAAUGUUAUGAUGUACCUCAACAUCUUCAGCAAGAUACAGCGAGACCGGAAGACAUCCAACCUGAAGUUGGGUAGAACAUAGUGAAAGAAAAUAAAUCCCUA
rnacentral:lncRNA from 1 species